AGCGAACGCUGGCGGCAGGCCUAACACAUGCAAGUCGAACGGACCCUCCGGGGUUAGUGGCGGACGGGUGAGUAACACGUGGGAACGUGCCUUUAGGUUCGGAAUAGCUCCUGGAAACGGGUGGUAAUGCCGAAUGUGCCCUUCGGGGGAAAGAUUUAUCGCCUUUAGAGCGGCCCGCGUCUGAUUAGCUAGUUGGUGGUGUAACGGACCACCAAGGCGACGAUCAGUAGCUGGUCUGAGAGGAUGAUCAGCCACAUUGGGACUGAGACACGGCCCAAACUCCUACGGGAGGCAGCAGUGGGGAAUCUUGCGCAAUGGGCGGAAGCCUGACGCAGCAUGCCGCGUGAAUGAUGUAGGUCUUAGGAUUGUAAAAUUCUUUCACCGGGGACGAUAAUGACGGUACCCGGAGAAGAAGCCCCGGCUAACUUCGUGCCAGCAGCCGCGGUAACAC
rnacentral:rRNA from 1 species